rnacentral:rRNA from 1 species
GCAGAGCACUCCUCGGGGAGGCAGCAGUGGGGAAUAUUGCACAAUGGGCGCAAGCCUGAUGCAGCCAUGCCGCGUGUAUGAAGAAGGCCUUCGGGUUGUAAAGUACUUUCAGCAGUGAGGAAGGUGGGUAUGUUAAUAGCAUAUUCAUUUGACGUUAGCUGCAGAAGAAGCACCGGCUAACUCCGUGCCAGCAGCCGCGGUAAUACGGAGGGUGCGAGCGUUAAUCGGAAUUACUGGGCGUAAAGCGCAUGCAGGUGGUUUGUUAAGUCAGAUGUGAAAGCCCGGGGCUCAACCUCGGAAUUGCAUUUGAAACUGGCAAACUAGAGUACUGUAGAGGGGGGUAGAAUUUCAGGUGUAGCGGUGAAAUGCGUAGAGAUCUGAAGGAAUACCGGUGGCGAAGGCGGCCCCCUGGACAGAUACUGACACUCAGAUGCGAAAGCGUGGGGAGCAAACAGGAUUAGAUACCCUGGUAG